rnacentral:lncRNA from 1 species
UUUGAACUAAUAUACGCAUCUAUCUCAUUUUCUCUCCUCUCGUCUUUCCUAUUUGAAAGGAUUGAUUUUUAUGUAUUAUGAUGGAAAAUGAUCAUCCCUCUUAUUUUAUUUCCUCUCACUUUUCUUCUCAAUCAAAUAUACUCAAAAUUUAUUUUCUUUUCGCUUUUCUAUUACCUCCUCCCAUCCCUCUACUUUUCCACCCA